GGAUUUCUGUGGUUCGAUUCCGGAGAGGGAGCCUGAGAAACGGCUACCACAUCUAAGGAAGGCAGCAGGCGCGCAAAUUACCCAAUCCUAAUACAGGGAGGUAGUGACAAGAAAUAACAAUACAGGACUUUUUGGUUUUGUAAUUGGAAUGAGUUAAGUAUAAACCCCUUUACAGUAUCAAUUGGAGGGCAAGUCUGGUGCCAGCAGCCGCGGUAAUUCCAGCUCCAAUAGCGUAUAUUAAAGUUGUUGCAGUUAAAAAGCUCGUAGUUUAAUAAUUUAUAUAAAAUAUUUUGAUGAAUAUUUAUAUAAUAUUAACAUAAUUCAUAUUACUAUUUUUUUUUAGUAUAUGAAAUUUUACUUUGAGAAAAUUAGAGUGCUUAAAGCAGGCAUAUGCCUUGAAUACUCCAGCAUGGAAUAAUAUUAAAGAUUUUUAUCUUUUUUAUUGGUUCUAAGAUAAGAAUAAUGAU
rnacentral:rRNA from 1 species